CUCUCAUUUUCUCUUGCUGCCGCGAUGUACGAAGUUCCUUUUGCCUGCCGCGAUGAUUUUGAGGCCUCCCCAGCCAUGUGAAACUACAUGGAUUCUCACUAUGACACCCAGGCUGGAGUGCAGUGGCACAAUCAUAGCUGACUACAGCCUCGAAUUUCUGGGCUCAAGCAAGGCUUUCAUCUCAACCUCCCCAGGAGCUGGGAUUACAGAUGGUGUCAGAAGCGGGGUUCAAAGUAGAGCUUUAAUGACCCCCAGAAGUGCUGAGUGAACAAGCAAGGUACCUGCAAGGACCCACUUGUGUCCUUUGAUCUCUCAGAGCAGUGGAAUUUUCAGCCUGCCAGCCUGCCCUACAGAAUUCAGACUUGUCAGCCUCCACAAUCAGGUAAGACAAUUCCUUAAGAAAAAAACCUCAAUCUCUCUCUGUUUUCCUUCUUCUCACUCUCUGUUUUUUCUACCUCAAUAUAGAUAUAGAUAUAGAUGACAUAGAUAUACAUACAGAUAUAGAUAAUAUAGAUAUAGCUGUAUCUUUAAUUAGUUCUAUUUCUGUGGUGAAGCCUGACUAAAAGAACAUGUAAUACAUUUAAUAAAAUAUAGCCGGGCGCGGUGGCUCAUGCAUGUAAUCCCAGGCAUGGGCGGUCGAGGUGAGUGGAUCACUUGAGGCCAUUCAAGACCAGCCUGGCCAACAUGGUGAAACCCCAUCUCUACUAAAAACACAAAAACUAGCCAGGCAUGAUGGCGCACGCCUGUAAUUCCAGCUACUCGGGAGACUGAGGCAGGAGGAUGGCUUGAACCUGGGAGGCGGAGGUUGCAGUGAGCCCUAAGUGGUGCCACUCUACUCCAGCCUGGGUGACAGAGUGAAAUUCUGUCUUUAAAAAAAAAACAAACAAAAAAAAAAAAAAAAAAACAACAACAACAAUUAUAUAUUACCUCACAUCCAGUUCUUAGCCAAAUGUCCCUGAUUCCUUUAAAUGUUUAAGUCACUGUCUACUUCAGGAGUAUACAUUGCAUCAGGCUGUUAUGUCCCUCAGCCCUCUUUAAUCUAGAGUAAUCUUUUCUAUGAUACCAAUUUGCUGAAUAAAUAUUAACAGUUGUCCUGUACAAUGUGCCACAUUCGAGAAUCAAUAGAUUACUUUCUGAUGAUCUUCCUAUAUGCCUGUUAUGUCCUGGAUGUUAGAGAUAAAGUGUUCAUUCAAUUGAAGAUCAACAGUUUUGGCAAGAAUUUAUCAGAGCUAAUGUUUAAAAUUUUGUAUGGCAUCGUAUCAGGAGACAUAUAACGUUUGGGUCCUGCGAUUAGGUACUUACUGGUUAGGAUAGCAACAGACUAAUCUUUUUUAUGUAAAGUUGCACUUUUCCUCUUGUAAUCAGAAAAUAAUCUGUGUGGUGUCAUGAUGCCACUUUGGCACUAUAGGAAUGUCCCAUUCUCUUUCAUUCUUUUAUCACUGUUAGCAUAUUUAUUAGCUUGACAUUCUUCUGUAAACUAGAACAUUUGCUCAUUAGUUGCAGCUAUUUAUUUACUGUGAAAUGUAAUUCUUAUAGCAAAUUUACAUUGAUUAUAAUUCAUUAUAUUAAUUCAACUAAUCUGUUAUAUUUUAUUUCUAUUUAUUGAUUUCUAUGACUUUGUUGCCUCUUUUAUGUUGAUUUUUAUUUUUUAAUCUUAACUCCCGCCAUAUAUUUUUUUAAUGUAUAUAUUCUGUUAUUUCAGUAAUUGGUUAGCCUUUAAUUUUACCAACUGUCUUUAACUCAAGAAAGUCUAAAGUUAUUACAACCCUCUCCCCAAAAGUUCAAGUACCUCAGACCACUUUAACAGCAUCACCUUGUCUCUCAAUUUACCUGCUAUGAUCAUCUGAUGUUUUUAUCUGCCUUCUGCUGUUGUAAAAUCCUACAGAUAAGUAACCAUUGUCAUUAUUAUUUUAUGCAGCAAUGGUAUGUUUAGAUUACAGACUUUCAUAUUUCUUUACUCA
rnacentral:lncRNA from 1 species